UACGUAGGGGGCAAGCGUUAUCCGGAUUUACUGGGUGUAAAGGGAGCGUAGACGGCGAUGCAAGUCUGAAGUGAAAGGCGGGGGCCCAACCCCCGGACUGCUUUGGAAACUGUAUAGCUGGAGUGCAGGAGAGGUAAGUGGAAUUCCUAGUGUAGCGGUGAAAUGCGUAGAUAUUAGGAGGAACAUCAGUGGCGAAGGCGACUAUCUGGACAGCAACUGACACUGAGGCACGAAAGCGUGGGGAGCAAACAGG
rnacentral:rRNA from 1 species